CCAUAGCUCAGUGGUAGAGCAUCUGCUUUGGAUACACAAGGUCCCAGGUUCAAUCCCAGGCAUAUCGA